rfam:Hordeum vulgare subsp. vulgare, WGS project CAJW01000000 data, contig: morex_contig_1806317
CUUAUACUCCCACCGUCCCAAAUUCUUGUCUUAGGUUUGUCUAGAAAUGGAUGUACCUAAAUAUAAAAACGUGACUAGAUACAUUCAUAUCUAGAUAAAUCUAAGGCAAGAAUUUUCGAACGGAGGGAGUAUCUU